rnacentral:rRNA from 1 species
AACCAGCACCUCAAGUGGUCAGGAGGAUUAUUGGGCCUAAAGCAUCCGUAGCCGGCUUUGUAAGUUUUCGGUUAAAUCCAUGUGCUCAACGCAUGGGCUGUCGAAAAUACUGCAUAGCUAGGGAGUGGGAGAGGUAGACGGUACUCGGUAGGAAGGGGUAAAAUCCUUUGAUCUAUCGAUGACCACCUGUGGCGAAGGCGGUCUACCAGAACACGUUCGACGGUGAGGGAUGAAAGCUGGGGGAGCAAACCGG